CCAAAUAAGUCCUCAUUAAUUAUUCAUACACUAUUUUACAGAAAUAGUGAGGACAGCUAAAACAUCUUCCUAGCACCAUCACUGCAUACCCCGACUCGAUCCUGCUAUGUUCUCACCUCCUGAGAAGAAAAAUGGAACAAAAAAGAAAAGGGUGAGCUCAACAAGCCAAGUAAAGAAUAUUAUGACUAAGAUAAUAUACAACAAAUUAUCGUUAGUCUUCAACAGGAAAAAAUCUAACAGAAUACAAUAGACAACAAGUUUUAGAUCAACAAAUGCAGCGGAAACAGCAAUCCAUUAGAAGAGUCACGUAGAGAAAGAAUUCUACUGUCUUCUAAGGUUUAAAAGUCCAUCAUCAAUAGUUUAUCCCUGUAAUAACAAUCAAUAUACAUCUUUAAUCAUCUUUGCACUACAGGCCAAAGAUAUUCAUUUGUAUCACCAGUUGGUCAUGUUCAUCUCAACACCUGUUCAUCUUUGCACUACAGGCCAAAGAUAUUCAUCAGUUAAUCGUUCAUCUUUGCACUACAGGCCAAAGAUAUUCAUUUAUAUCACCAUUUAGGACUGAGGAUGAUGAAAAACAUUUUUAAAGAAACGAAUCCAGUGAAACAAAAUGACAAGGAUUAAGGAUUAAGGAUUCGUACUUUGUUUUACCCAUGUCCAAAAAUACUUCGAAAAUAAUCAUAUUGGUGUAAAAUUCAAGAAUGAUCAAAACAUGGAUACAAUCAAAGCUAGUAUCCAGAAUAGAUAUUUUGGACAAAAAGAAAAAUUUUUAUUUUUCGGUGAAUAGUGCCGUAUUCGUGAAUAGUGUCGUAUACGUGAAUAGUGCCGUAUACGUGAAUAGUAACCCCGACACAACAAGUUCCAAAUUUGAUAAAAAAGUUCACCAAUACUUCGGCAUAAUGAUAUUGAAGAAAAAAUAUCAUUUAAGAAGAAAAUAAUACCCCUUACCUCAAAAUAACCGUACUUCUGACUGAAUUUCGGUAUAGUGCUGACAGAAACCCGCACCGUAUAGCAACACUCAAAGUAUACUCACAAGAAUACGCUCGAUAAUUUAGAGAGAGAAAGAGAGAAAAC
rnacentral:lncRNA from 1 species